rnacentral:rRNA from 1 species
UACGAAGGGGGCUAGCGUUGCUCGGAAUCACUGGGCGUAAAGCGCACGUAGGCGGAUCUUUAAGUCAGGGGUGAAAUCCUGGAGCUCAACUCCAGAACUGCCUUUGAUACUGGGGAUCUCGAGUCCGGAAGAGGUGAGUGGAACUCCGAGUGUAGAGGUGAAAUUCGUAGAUAUUCGGAAGAACACCAGUGGCGAAGGCGGCUCACUGGUCCGGUACUGACGCUGAGGUGCGAAAACGUGGGGAGCAAACAGG